GACGAACGCUGGCGGCGUGCUUAACACAUGCAAGUCGAACGGAAAGGCCCUGCUUGCCGGGUACUCGAGUGGCGAACGGGUGAGUAACACGUGGGUGAUCUGCCCUGAACUUCGGGUUACGCCUGGGAAACUGGGUCUAAUACCGGAUAGUAGCCAUUUUUAGUGUGAUGGUUGGAAAGUUUUUUCGGUGUAGGAUGAGCGCGCGGCCUAUCAGCUUGUUGGUGGGGGAAUGGCCUACCAAGGCGGCGGCGGGUAGCCGGCCUGAGAGGGUGGACGGCCACAUUGGGACUGAGAUACGGCCCAGCCGCCGACGGGAGGCAGCAGUGGGGAAUAUUGCACAAUGGGCGCAAGCCUGAUGCAGCGACGCCGCGUGGGGGAUUACGGCCUUCGGGUUGUAAACGCCUUUCGCUAGGGACGAAGCUUUUUGUGACGGUACCUAGAGAAGAAGCACCGGCUAACUACGUG
rnacentral:rRNA from 1 species